GAUGAACGCCGGCGGUGUGCCUAAUACAUGCAAGUCGAACGCGUUGGCCUAAUUGAUUGAUGGUGCUUGCACCUGAUUGAUUUUGGUCGCCAACGAGUGGCGGACGGGUGAGUAACACGUAGGUAACCUGCCCAGAAGCGGGGGACAACAUUUGGAAACAGAUGCUAAUACCGCAUAACAGCGUUGUUCGCAUGAACAACGCUUAAAAGAUGGCUUCUCGCUAUCACUUCUGGAUGGACCUGCGGUGCAUUAGCUUGUUGGUGGGGUAACGGCCUACCAAGGCGAUGAUGCAUAGCCGAGUUGAGAGACUGAUCGGCCACAAUGGGACUGAGACACGGCCCAUACUCCUACGGGAGGCAGCAGUAGGGAAUCUUCCACAAUGGGCGCAAGCCUGAUGGAGCAACACCGCGUGAGUGAAGAAGGGUUUCGGCUCGUAAAGCUCUGUUGUUAAAGAAGAACACGUAUGAGAGUAACUGUUCAUACGUUGACGGUAGUUAACCAGAAAGUCACGGCUAACUACGUG
rnacentral:rRNA from 1 species